AGUUUUGCGCAGUGGCGAUAUCGUAUAACCAGUGACGUUCCACGGAGGUGCAUUUAUUGCUUGUUGAAAAUUAGUCAAUCUCAAUUUGUAGCAACAUCAUUUUAGUUGCUUCCUGUGACAGUAAAACCGAUUGAUAAUAACUUUUUUUCUACAAAACACUUUGCUUUGAUAAAUUUUUGUUGGCGAGCUAA